UACGGCCACAUUGCAUUGAAACACCAGUCCCCAUACAAUCGCUGAAGUUAAGCAACGUAGAGCCUGGUCAGUACCUUGAUGGGUGACUGCUUGGGAAUACCAGGUGCUGUAA